rnacentral:tRNA from 1 species
CGGAAGUAGCUCAGUGGUAGAGCACCACCUUGCCAAGGUGGGGGUCGCGGGUCCGAGUCCCGUUUUCCG